AAGGAACAUUGUUUGUGACAGGCUCUCCAGCAUGCAGAGUGCAUGUGAACACGCCUCGCCGCAUGCCCACACUCUCAGAGACCUUUUGUUAGAGCGUCCAGGAUGGCACAGGCAUGAAGGGGCAGGAUACAGAGCAGACCAGGCCUCCGAUCCCCAGCUCCAGCAAGGUAGAAAGCAACUUUCACUGGCAGACCCAGGAAUGGAGAUUCUCAAAGCAGGAUAGAAGGAAUCAGGAGGAAUCAGGAGGAAAACUGCAAAAUUACCUCCGUGAGGCCUUCCCGGCCCAGAACAGCCUGCCACCUGCUAACCAGACUCCCACAGGCACUGUGGCCCCUGAUCGAGAGUGGUCUUCUUCCAACACAAACAGACUCAUGUCAUCCUUCUAUCCCCACCCAACUUCCUGAAGCCCGCUGGUGCCCUGGGAGCCAAUUGUGCCCUCUACCUCUGAAGUCCAGCGAGAUCUGGCCCCUUACGACGCACCAUUACACCAUUACUAUGCGCCGUUUUCCCAUUCCAGCCAUAGCCUCCAGCCGUCCUCCCACCUACCAGGGGCAUUCCUUUCCUUCUGUCUUCACUGCGCCUCUCCACUCUUCAAUUAUUAACUGCAACUAAUCCCUUUAGGCACUGGCUCAGCUAUGACAUUACUUCCUUAGAGAACUAUCCCAGACCCUCCAGUCAAGCUCCCCUGUUACGAGCGUGGACGCCACUUAACCACACACAGAGCACACGUUGGCUUAUUGGAUUAAGUUUCCCUCUCAAUACACUCUGUAACUAUCUAUAAGGAUAGCAGGCUUUUGCUCACCAUUGACUGGGACCCUAGCACUGGAAUGGUAUUGACACCUAGCAUAUCUUCAGUAUCUAUUGAGCAGAUGGAAAGGGAACUUAGUUUAAAAUGCACUUAGAACAUGUGAUUGUUGUCACAGAAGCGUAUAUUCCAGCUCAGACCCUUGCUCAGGGAAAGGACAUGGCAUCCGGGUUAUCUUGGAAGGGACUCUGCGGUCAGACCGGCCAUAGUUCAGUUUGGUUCGGCAGUUUGAUGUGCGAGUUUGAUUUUUGGCUCACUGGUUUUUGCCAAUAUGAAAUUUCUAGUUAGGUUCAUACUGACUUAAAAAGAAUCAACCUUUCCACUCAUUUAUCUACCCGUCCAUCUCCCUCUUACCUGCCUGGUGAAUAAACUGAAUGCAUCUGGCUUAUUCA
rnacentral:lncRNA from 1 species